rnacentral:ribozyme from 15 species
UGUUGACAUCCAUUUCUAUGGCUUGGUUACAACCACUUCCUUCAUCUUAAUAAAUUUUUUUUUUUUAUUUAAAGCAUAUAAGAGACAAUGACAAAGACGG